rnacentral:rRNA from 1 species
GAACGGGUGAGUAACACGUGGGUGAUCUGCCCUGCACUUUGGGAUAAGCCUGGGAAACUGGGUCUAAUACCGGAUAGGACCACGCGCUUCAUGGUGUGUGGUGGAAAGCUUUUGCGGUGUGGGAUGGGCCCGCGGCCUAUCAGCUUGUUGGUGGGGUAAUGGCCUACCAAGGCGACGACGGGUAGCCGGCCUGAGAGGGUGACCGGCCACACUGGGACUGAGAUACGGCCCAGACUCCUACGGGAGGCAGCAGUGGGGAAUAUUGCACAAUGGGCGCAAGCCUGAUGCAGCGACGCCGCGUGAGGGAUGACGGCCUUCGGGUUGUAAACCUCUUUCAAUAGGGACGAAGCGCAAGUGACGGUACCUAUAGAAGAAGGACCGGCCAACUACGUGCCAGCAGCCGCGGUAAUACGUAGGGUCCGAGCGUUGUCCGGAAUUACUGGGCGUAAAGAGCUCG